GACGAACGCUGGCGGCGUGCCUAAUACAUGCAAGUAGAACGCACAGUUUAUACCGUAGCUUGAUACACCAUAGACUGUGAGUUGCGAACGGGUGAGUAACGCGUAGGUAACCUGCCUGGUAGCGGGGGAUAACUAUUGGAAACGAUAGCUAAUACCGCAUAAUAUUAAUUAUUGCAUGAUAAUUAAUUGAAAGGUGCAAUUGCACCACUACCAGAUGGACCUGCGUUGUAUUAGCUAGUAGGUGAGGUAACGGCUCACCUAGGCGACGAUACAUAGCCGACCUGAGAGGGUGAUCGGCCACACUGGGACUGAGACACGGCCCAGACUCCUACGGGAGGCAGCAGUAGGGAAUCUUCGGCAAUGGACGAAAGUCUGACCGAGCAACGCCGCGUGAGUGAAGAAGGUUUUCGGAUCGUAAAGCUCUGUUGUAAGAGAAGAACGGGUGUGAGAGUGGAAAGUUCACACUGUGACGGUAUCUUACCAGAAAGGGACGGCUAACUACGU
rnacentral:rRNA from 1 species